rnacentral:rRNA from 1 species
UACGUAGGAUGCAAGCGUUGUUCGGAAUUACUGGGCGUAAAGAGUACGUAGGCGGUUUGAUAAGUCUGAUAUUAAAUACAGAAGCUUAACUUCUGAACUGUAUCGGAAACUGUCAGACUAGAGGACAAUAGAGGAAGUCGGAAUUCUCAGUGUAGCGGUGAAAUGCGUAGAUAUUGGGAAGAACACCAGUGGCGAAAGCGGACUUCUGGGUUGUUACUGACGCUGAGGUACGAAAGCGUGGGGAGCAAACGGG